UACGAAGGCCCCGAGCGUUAUCCGGAUUUAUUGGGUUUAAAGGGUGCGUAGGCGGACAUGCAAGUCAGUGGUGAAAUCUCCCUGCUUAACAGGGAAACUGCCAUUGAAACUAUGUGUCUUGAGUACAUUUGAGGCGGGCGGAAUGUGUCAUGUAGAGGUGAAAUUCUUAGAUAUGACACAGAACACCAAUUGCGAAGGCAGCUCGCUAAACUGUAACUGACGCUGAGGCACGAAAGCGUGGGGAUCAAACAGG
rnacentral:rRNA from 1 species